rnacentral:rRNA from 1 species
CGACCGAUAGUGAACAAGUACCGUGAGGGAAAGGUGAAAAGCACCCCAACGAGGGGAGUGAAACAGAUCCUGAAAUCGGAAGCCUACAAGCAGUCGGAGCCCCCAUGCGGGGUGACGGCGUACCUUUUGUAUAAUGGGUCAGCGACUUCAUGUGUCGAGCAAGCUUAAGCCGUUAGGUGUAGGCGCAGCGAAAGCGAGUCUGAAUAGGGCGCUAAGUUCGACGUAUGACGACCCGAAACUAGGUGAUCUAUCCAUGAGCAGGAUGAAGGUUGGGUAACACCAACUGGAGGUCCGAACCCGUGAAUGUUGAAAAAUUCUGGGAUGACUUGUGGAUAGGGGUGAAAGGCCAAUCAAACCUAGACAUAGCUGGUUCUCCGCGAAAUCUAUUUAGGUAGAGCGUCCGACGAAUUCCCUGGGGGGUAGAGCACUGGAUGGUUGCGGGCUGCGCGAGCGGUACCAAUACUAACCAAACUCCGAAUACCCAGGAGAACUAUCGGGCAGACACACGGCGGGUGCUAACGUCCGUCGUGAAAAGGGAAACAACCCUAACCAUCAUCUAAGGCCCCCAAGUCAUGGCUAAGUGGGAAACGAUGUGGGAUUGCUUUGACAAUCAGGAGGUUGGCUUAGAAGCAGCCAUCCUUUAAAGAAAGCGUAACAGCUCACUGAUCAAGCGAUCCUGCGCGGAAAAUGUAACGGGGCUCAAGCCAUGCGCCGAAGAUAUGGGUUUGCAGUUUACUGCAAGCGGUAGCGGAGCGUUCCGUAAGCCGGUGAAGGUCAGGCGUGAGCCUGGCUGGAGGUAUCGGAAGUGAGAAUGCUGACAUGAGUAACGAUAAACAGUGUGAGAAACACUGUCGCCGAAAGACCAAGGGUUCCUGCGUAAAGCUAAUCUGCGCAGGGUUAGUCGGCCCCUAAGGCGAGGCUGAAAAGCGUAGUCGAUGGGAAGCAGGUAAAUAUUCCUGCACCAGCUAGAAGUGACGGAUGGCGUAAGUUGUCGGGGCUUAUUGGAUUGUCCCGGCAGCGAAGUUGUCCCUGGAAAUAACUCUAGCAGAGACCGUACCCGAAACCGACACAGGUGGUCAGGUAGAGCAUACCAAGGCGCUUGAGAGAACUGUGCUGAAGGAACUCGGCAAAUUGCACGCGUAACUUCGGAAUAAGCGUGACUCACCCAGCGCAAGCUGGACUGAGUGGCACAAGCCAGGGGGUAGCGACUGUUUAGCAAAAACACAGGGCUCUGCGAAGCAGCAAUGCGACGUAUAGGGUCUGACGCCUGCCCGGUGCCUGAAGGUUAAAGGGAGUUGUGAAAGCGACGAACUGAAGCCCAGGUAAACGGCGGCCGUAACUAUAACGGUCCUAAGGUAGCGAAAUUCCUUGUCGG